CGCUGGCGGCGUGCCUAACACAUGCAAGUCAACUUGACUGAAGGAGCAAUCUGACAGUAGAGUGGCGCAAGGGUGCGUAACGCGUAAGUAACUUAGCCCCAAGGUAAGGAAUAACGUCGAGAAAUCGGCGCUAAUACCUCAUAAUGCAGCGGGUCCGCAUGGAUAUGUUGUUAAAGGUUUACCGCCUUGGGAUAGGCUUGCGUCUGAUUAGUUAGUUGGUGUGGUAACGGCACACCAAGGCUACGAUCAGUAACUGGUCUGAGAGGAUGAUCAGUCGCACUGGAACUGAGACACGGUCCAGACUCCUACGGGAGGCAGCAGUGAGGAAUAUUGGGCAAUGCUCGAAAGAGUGACCCAGCAACGCCGCGUGGAGGAUGAAGGUAUUCUAUAUCGUAAACUCCUGUGAGAGCAGACGAAAGACAGAUUAUUAAUCUGGAUGACUGUAUGCUCAGAGGAAGCCCCAGCUAACUACGUG
rnacentral:rRNA from 1 species